AAAAAUGCGAACUAGAA
rnacentral:sRNA from 1 species